rnacentral:rRNA from 1 species
AUGAACGCUAGCGACAGGCCUAACACAUGCAAGUCGAGGGCAGCACAAGGAGCAAUCUGAGGUGGCGACCGGCGCACGGGUGAGUAACACGUAUGCAACCUGCCUGUAAGCGGGGAAUAACCCGUUGAAAGACGGACUAAUACCGCAUAAUACUAAAUUACUGCAUGGUAAUUUAUUUAAACAUUUAUGGCUUACAGAUGGGCAUGCGCAUGAUUAGCUAGUUGGAGAGGUAACGGCUCCCCAAGGCAACGAUCAUUAGGGGUUCUGAGAGGAAGGUCCCCCACACUGGUACUGAGACACGGACCAGACUCCUACGGGAGGCAGCAGUGAGGAAUAUUGGUCAAUGGACGAGAGUCUGAACCAGCCAAGUCGCGUGCAGGAAGAAUGUCCUAUGGAUUGUAAACUGCUUUUGCAGGGGAAUAAAGUGCAUCACGUGUGAUGUUUUGUAUGUACUCUGCGAAUAAGGAUCGGCUAACUCCGUGCCAGCCGCCGC